GAUGAAGAACGCAGCGAAAUGCGAUAAGUAGUGUGAAUUGCAGAAUUCAGUGAAUCAUCGAAUCUUUGAACGCACAUUGCGGCCAUAGGUAUUCCUUUGGCCAUGCCUGUUCGAGCGUCAUUUACACCCUCAAGCCUAGCUUGGUGUUGGGCGCCUGUCCCGCCGUUUUCGCGCGCGGACUCGCCUCAAGUCAUUGGCGGCGGUCGUGCCGGCCCCCUCGCGCAGCACAUUUGCGCUUCUCGGAGGCCCGGCGGAUCCGCGCUCCAGCAAGACCUUUCACGACUUGACCUCGGAUCAGGUAGGGAUACCCGCUGAACUUAAGCAUAUCAAUAAGCGGAGGA
rnacentral:misc_RNA from 1 species